rnacentral:lncRNA from 1 species
GGGUGGCCGCGACGGAGGGCGCUUGAGCGCCUGCGCGGUACCUACCUUGGGUACAGGCGCCAAUAGAGACUGGCGGGAGUAAAUACCAUGGCGUGGGUUCCAGCCGAGUCUGCGGUGGAAGAGUUGAUGCCACGGUUGUUACCUGUGGAGCCCUGUGACUUGACGGAAGGUUUCGAUCCCUCGGUACCCCCCAGGACGCCUCAGGAAUACCUGAGGAGGGUGCAGUGAGUGAUUUUGCCCUGUGCGAGUGAGCUGGUUGUUGUGGUGCCCCUGGGUAUAACCCUGGUGCCUCGCUUGACUCUCGGAUCGAAGCAGCCCAGUGUCCAGAUGUUGUGGUAGCCCAGAUUGACCCAAAGAAGUUGAAAAGGAAGCAAAGUGUGAAUGUUUCUGUGAGUUUUACUAACCACCUGGGAAUCUUUUAACCACACAAACACACAUACACAAGACUUUUCCUAUCAUAUCAAGAAUAUCAGUGUGUGUGUAAGAUUAAAUUGCUCCUUACAAAGUUAGACACUACUUGGAAGUUAAUGCAGGAGUAUUUUGGUUUGGAGGCCAGCCUGCAUUGAAAAAUGUGUGUAUCAUUUAAAAGAUUACCUCCCCCACCGCAAAAAAAGUACUUCAAUUGCGUACUAAUAUUGACCUUUAUAAAUCAAUAAAUAAUUUUUUUUCUGG